rnacentral:rRNA from 1 species
AUUGAACGCUGGCGGCAGGCCUAACACAUGCAAGUCGAGCGGAUGAAGGGAGCUUGCUCCUGGAUUCAGCGGCGGACGGGUGAGUAAUGCCUAGGAAUCUGCCUGGUAGUGGGGGAUAACGUCCGGAAACGGGCGCUAAUACCGCAUACGUCCUGAGGGAGAAAGUGGGGGAUCUUCGGACCUCACGCUAUCAGAUGAGCCUAGGUCGGAUUAGCUAGUUGGUGGGGUAAAGGCCUACCAAGGCGACGAUCCGUAACUGGUCUGAGAGGAUGAUCAGUCACACUGGAACUGAGACACGGUCCAGACUCCUACGGGAGGCAGCAGUGGGGAAUAUUGGACAAUGGGCGAAAGCCUGAUCCAGCCAUACCGCGUGUGUGAAGAAGGUCUUCGGAUUGUAAAGCACUUUAAGUUGGGAGGAAGGGCAGUAAGUUAAUACCUUGCUGCUUUGACGUUACCAACAGAAUAAGCACCGGCUAACUUCGUG